rnacentral:rRNA from 1 species
AGGAUGAACGCUGGCGGCGUGCCUAACACAUGCAAGUCGAACGAAGCAUAGCGGAAUGAGAUUCGUCGAAGGAAGUUAUGACUUAGUGGCGGACGGGUGAGUAAUGUAUGAGCAACCUGCCUUCAGAGGGGGACAACAGUUGGAAACGACUGCUAAUACCGCAUAAUGUAUUUUUAAGGGCAUCCUUGGAAUACCAAAGGAGCAAUCCGCUGAAAGAUGGGCUCAUAUCUGAUUAGUUAGUUGGCAGGGUAACGGCCUACCAAGACUGCGAUCAGUAGCCGGACUGAGAGGUUGAACGGCCACAUUGGGACUGAGAUACGGCCCAGACUCCUACGGGAGGCAGCAGUGGGGAAUAUUGCACAAUGGGGGAAACCCUGAUGCAGCGACGCCCGCGUGAGUGAUGAAGUAUUUCGGUAUGUAAAGCUCUAUCAGCAGGGAAGAUAAUGACGGUACCUGACUAAGAAGCCCCGGCUAACUACGUGCCAGCAGCAGC